rnacentral:rRNA from 1 species
UACGGAGGGUGCAAACGUUGCUCGGAAUCAUUGGGCGUAAAGCGCACGUAGGCGGAUCGCUAAGUCGGAUGUGAAAUCCCUCAGCUUAACUGAGGAAGUGCAUUCGAAACUGACGGUCUUGAGUAUGGAAGAGGGUCGCGGAAUUCCCGGUGUAGAGGUGAAAUUCGUAGAUAUCGAGAGGAACACCGGUGGCGAAGGCGGCGACCUGGACGAUGACUGACGCUGAGACGCGAAAGCGUGGGGAGCAAACAGG